GGGUCCGUAGCUCAGUUGGUUAGAGCGCUACGUUGACAUCGUAGAGGUCUCCAGUUCGACCCUGGACGGACCCACCA
rnacentral:tRNA from 1 species